AAUACACUUCAAGAAGUUUAAGUGUGACAGCAAGAACUCUUAAUGUUGUGACCAAAUUGUAACUGUCUACAGGAUGCCAUUCACACAAUGGUGUCAUGUUUUCCUGAGGAGAUAUGAAA
rnacentral:snoRNA from 1 species